GGUUUUAAGCAUCCUGGUUGCUACGUCCGUGACUGAUUACACAUGAUUAAGAGCGUGGUCAUGCUGAAGGCGUUCCCAAAGCGUUUCGAUGCAGCUCGACUUCCUGAAGGUGAACUAUGUCUAGCACUUUUGCUAAAUAGAUCUUGUAGAAUUUAUAACCCUUGCAGAAUUUAUAAUAUAGUACUAGUCUUAUGUAUAUAAGAAUGACACACAAAAUACACAGUACAUUUAAACUGUAAUGAUACAAAAAAGGCUCUUAGACAUACUUUGUUGAUCAAAUUUUUUCAUCUUCUUUCUUACAGUUAUAAACAUGACUACUUCAACUACAGCAUCAACAACAACAACAACGGCAACGACAGUGAUGACAACAACAACAACAACAACAACAACACAGACGACAACAACAAGACCCUUGACAUCUACAACUAAAGUGCCUACAGCUACAACUACAAAAUUUAUACCCAUGUAUCUAACAGCUCUGGUGUUUCGCUCUUUUGACAUAUUUAUAGUUGAACUCAGUGAUGUAAACUCUCAGGCUUUCAAGUCAAGGGCUGAGCUUGUUAGAUCUCAGCUUGAACCAAUCUUCAGAGCAAAAUAUACUUCCUUUAUUAGAGUGAUUGUCUUAAGUUUCAGUCCUGGGUCAAUCAUCACGGACACACAACUAGUUUUUAACUCAACACAAGCUCUUCCAACCGUUCAAGAGAUUUCAGACUUUCUCUUGACAGCAGUGGAAACAGGAGCUGUUGAUCCACUGAAAAUAAUCCCUACAACAGUUUCAGUCAAUGGUUCAGGUAAGUUUGAUUGCAUUUCAAAUCAUAUCUUGCAACAUGUUCUGAAAGUCUUACAACAACUGCGCCUAGCACUUUUGCUCAGUAGAUAUUGUGGAGUUUCUAACCUUAUAUAGCACUAGUCACUAGUUGAUUAUAUGUAUAUAAGAAUAACACACAAAACAUACAGUACAUUUGGACUGAAUGAAACAAAUGAAACAAGAAAGAGGCCCUAAGAUACUUUGAUUUAAAUUGUUCAUCUUUUUCUCUCAGUUAUAGCUACGACUGUAGCUGCAAUUACAACUACAACUGCAGCUGCAACUACAGCUUCAAGUGGACUGAAGAUUGAAUCCAGCCUGCUCCAAGCAACAUGGCUCAUUAUUAUCGCAAAACUAUUACAGCUUUUCCUAUAGAUCCCUUAACAAUAAAUGCAAGUGGCGAGAAAUGCA
ensembl:lncRNA